rnacentral:rRNA from 1 species
GGAUGAACGCUGGCGGCGUGCCUAAUACAUGCAAGUCGAGCGAACGGACGAGAAGCUUGCUUCUCUGAUGUUAGCGGCGGACGGGUGAGUAACACGUGGAUAACCUACCUAUAAGACUGGGAUAACUUCGGGAAACCGGAGCUAAUACCGGAUAAUAUUUUGAACCGCAUGGUUCAAAAGUGAAAGACGGUCUUGCUGUCACUUAUAGAUGGAUCCGGGCUGCAUUAGCUAGUUGGUAAGGUAAAGGCUUACCAAGGCAACGAUGCAUAGCCGACCUGAGAGGGUGAUCGGCGACACUGGAACUGAGACACGGUCCAGACUCCUACGGGAGGCAGCAGUAGGGAAUCUUCCGCAAUGGGCGAAAGCCUGACGGAGCAACGCCGCGUGAGUGAUGAAGGUCUUCGGAUCGUAAAACUCUGUUAUUAGGGAAGAACAUAUGUGUAAGUAACUGUGCACAUCUUGACGGUACCUAAUCAGAAAGCCACGGCUAACUACGUG